rnacentral:rRNA from 1 species
GAUGAACGCUGGCGGCGUGCCUAACACAUGCAAGUCGAGCGGCAGCGAGGGGUGCUUGCACCCUGUCGGCGAGCGGCGGACGGCUGAGUAACGCGUGGGAACGUGCCCCAAAGUGAGAAAUAACUGCCCGAAAGGGUAGCUAAUACCGCAUAUUAUCUUCGGAUCAAAGGAUUUAUCCGCUUUGGGAGCGGCUCGCGUCGGAUUAGGUAGUUGGUGAGGUAAUGGCUCACCAAGCCGACGAUCCGUAGCUGGUCUGAGAGGAUGACCAGCCAGACUGGAACUGAGACACGGUCCAGACUCCUACGGGAGGCAGCAGUGAGGAAUCUUCCACAAUGGGCGAAAGCCUGAUGGAGCAACGCCGCGUGCAGGACGAAGGCCUUCGGGUUGUAAACUGCUUUUAUAAGUGAGGAAUAUGACGGUAACUUAUGAAUAAGGAUCGGCUAACUACGUG